GACGAACGCUGGCGGCGUGCUUAACACAUGCAAGUCGAACGGAAAGGCCCUGCUUUUGUGGGGUGCUCGAGUGGCGAACGGGUGAGUAACACGUGAGUAACCUGCCCUUGACUUUGGGAUAACUUCAGGAAACUGGGGCUAAUACCGGAUAGGAGCUCCUGCUGCAUGGUGGGGGUUGGAAAGUUUCGGCGGUUGGGGAUGGACUCGCGGCUUAUCAGCUUGUUGGUGGGGUAGUGGCUUACCAAGGCUUUGACGGGUAGCCGGCCUGAGAGGGUGACCGGGGCCACUGUGACUCUGAGACGCCCCAGAGUCUCCUAGGGGGGGGAGGUGGGGGAUAUAUCGCACUAGGCGCGGGCGUCUGACGCAGCAGCGGCGCGUGCGAUAUCACCCUCUUCGGGUUGUACCCCGCUCUCGCGUGUCAAGAAGUGUGUGUCACUGUUAUGGGUAGAGACGCCCCCGCUCUCUACG
rnacentral:rRNA from 1 species